rnacentral:rRNA from 1 species
UACGUAGGGUGCGAGCGUUAAUCGGAAUUACUGGGCGUAAAGCGUGCGCAGGCGGUUCUGUAAGCCAGAUGUGAAAGCCCCGGGCUUAACCUGGGAAUGGCAUUUGGGACUGCAAGGCUGGAGUGUGGCAGAGGAGACUGGAAUUCCUGGUGUAGCAGUGAAAUGCGUAGAUAUCAGGAGGAAUACCGAUGGCGAAGGCAGGUCUCUGGGCUGACACUGACGCUCAUGCACGAAAGCGUGGGGAGCAAACAGG